rnacentral:misc_RNA from 1 species
GAAAUGCGAUAAGUAAUGUGAAUUGCAGAAUUCAGUGAAUCAUCGAAUCUUUGAACGCACCUUGCGCUCCUUGGUAUUCCUCGGAGCAUGCCUGUUUGAGUAUCAUGAAAUCUUCAAAGCACAUCUUUUGUUAAUUCAGCUGGUGCCGCUUUGGACUUGGGGGUUUGCAGAUUCACGUCUGCUCCUCUUAAAAUCAUUAGCUGGAUCUCGGUAGACUUGGUUCCACUCGGCGUGAUAAGUAUCACUCGCUGAGGACACCCGUAAAAAAGGUGGCCAGGACCACGGAUGAGCCGCUUCCAACCGUCUUUCGGGACAACACACUUUACGAUCUGAUCUCAAAUCAGGUAGGACUACCCGCUGAACUUAA